rnacentral:rRNA from 1 species
CUGUCUAUAAUUAACAUAUUUAGAUUGCUAAAGAGAGUGCAAAUACUUCUAUAAUAAUAAAAAGACGAGAAGACCCUAGAAAUUUUAUGUAAAGUGUGUUAUUUAUACUAUCAUUUUGUUGGGGCAACAGAAUAGCAAUUAAACCUAUUUUAGCUGCAAGAUUUUUUUUUAAAGAUAGAUAAAAUUACUCUAGGGAUAACAGCAUAAUUAUUUAAUAGUUUGUGACCUCGAUGUUGGACUAAGGAAGAUUUUAUUCAGAAGAUAAAACCAUAUGUUCUGUUCGAACAACAUAUCCUUACAUGAUCUGAGUUCG